rnacentral:lncRNA from 1 species
UUGUAACACCCUAAAUUUCAAGUUUUGCAAUUUAAUAAAAUUUUCUAGAAAUAAAGUGCAUGGGUCUAAGGAUUUUAAGGUUGCAUUUAAAUUUCUUAGGCAACUAAAUCUUUUUCAAAAUAAAUUAAUGAAUCCUCAGAGUUCAUUUUUGCAUUCAUGCUGGUGCAUUGUUUUUUAUUGUUUGAAUUCAAAUUUGUGUUUGAAUUCAGUUUUAAAUUUGUGUUUGUUUCUUUUUCAAACCUUUUUCUUUUUCUCUUUUUCUUUGCUUCUUUCGGCCCAUUUUCCUUUUCUUCCUUCGGCCCAGUUCGCUCUCCCUCCGCUCGCCUCCGCCUCGGCCUGCUUGCACACCAGCCUAGCUUCUCCCACCUUGGCCCAGCAACAACCUGCUCUCCCGCGCCGGACCGCAACGCGCCCGCUCCCACCUGUCAUCCCUCACCUCCGGCCGCCGCACCACAACAAAC